UACGCAGCCCUGACUCGCCCGUCGCUGAAAUUGCUGCCCUGCAUGAGGGUUUCUUCCGCCGCCGCGCCCCCAUCCCUCCGCCGCCGCCGUCCCUCCACCCUGUGGUACCCGUCCUCGAUCCGUGGUCACCAAAUCUGGACGAGAUCGGCAGGAUCCGCCGCAUGUCCCGCGACACCUAGCCGCAGCUGCUCGUCGGCCAUGCGGGGAGCACGGACGAGCUGCUCGUCGACGUCCAUCCCGAAGCCCCGCUGACGAUCGUGCCCAGCCUCCUCGACAGCGCGCCUCUCCAACUUGCCGCAUGCCAAAUUUUAGUAGGGGAAGGAUGGAUACCGCAAGGCUUUCAUAUGUGUUUUGAUUUUGCCGAUAGGGAUUUCUAAUAUUCUGACAAGAGUCAAACUAGCAAUCGUGAAGAUGGAGAAUUCAUGCAACUCCAUCUUACUUCAACCCUCAGCCAUCUAAUUGGUGGUAUGGUGUGCUUCUGAUGGAAUUUCACGGCGUUUGUACCAGCAGCAUAGUAAAAAACUCCCAUCAACACGGCUUAUUUAUCGUUUCUGGAGGGCCUCACAGAUGAGCUAUUCAUCGGCGGCACCCUGCCAGUCAUUUAGAGGAUCUGCGGGAACAAAUAAACAAGCAGAGCGUCAUCAGUCAGGGACCAACAUCCAUGCCAACUGCCCAAGAUGACUGCUAAGGCAAUUAAUAUUCUCUCUCAAUCUUCAGCCACCAUCUGAUGUUAAUUGAUCUUGAUCUUCCCCACUCGCCAAUUCUGAAGACACUUCGGAUCUCACAUUAACUUCAUUCAGUCUUUAAGAAUAUCAAAGGUAUGUUGUACAAUAAUUUUACAACUAAACAAACCUUCCAAAUGUAUCGAUAUCAUUUUCACUAAUAUGCAUAGUCUUCUGUUGGUAGAAUAGACAUAUGGAUCUCAAAGCUAUGGAUCAUGCGCCCAUACAAAAAAGGACAACUGACUAGAUUGAUGAUACGUUAUGGCAAGAAGGCUAUAUAUUCAUGGGUGCAAACGGUGCCAGUGAGUAGGCGGCGAGUAUACUACGCCGAGAAGCGAUACAGGGGCAUGAAUCUUGAGACGGUGUGUGCAAUGACCUGCGCUACUGCACUAAUAGCCUUGACAGAGCACUAGGGCCGACUCGACAGGGCAUGCAACC